AACGCACGAGACCUGCGGACCUGCGGAGGGAUCAUUAAUGAGAAACUGCCCCUCGCGGGUAGAUCUCCCACCCUUUGUAAACUUACCUUUGUUGCUUUGGCGGGCCCGUCUCCGGACCGCCGGCUUCGGCUGGCCAGUGCCUGCCAGAGGAUUCUAAAACUCUGUCUGUCAGUGUUGUCUGAGUCUAUAUACAAUCGUUAAAACUUUCAACAACGGAUCUCUAGAUCGGAAGAGCACACG
rnacentral:misc_RNA from 1 species